AUUUGCUUUCUUUUGCAGAAGACCGAUUAAAGCAGGGCUAUCACUGCUCCCUUGAGAAGACCGUAAAUCAGGACCCAUCACUGUUUCCUCGAGAGUGGAAUCUGGUGAGAAGUGAGUGUGACCUGUUGAUGAGUCUCCACCUUUCUGCAAAUGUUUU